UCAUAGAUAAAGAUGAUUGAAGUUGAGAUCGACCUUAUCACUGAUUGUCUAAAAUAAAAAGUAUGUUUUGUCAAAAAAUAUGUAUAUUGGAAACAUCAUAAAAUUCGUAUUAUUUUAUGUUCAUAUAUAACCUACAUGAUUUAUCGUCUGUGCCAAUUGUGGGUCGGUAUUGUCAAGUUUUUCCAUUUUUCGUUUUACAAUCAACCUACCGAGCAAGGCUGUACUCUGGACUUGUUUACCUAUAUCCUUUUAUAGUAAGCAUGAAUUCCCUUCACAUGUUUGUAUUCCCAUCCGAAAAGUUGAUCAACUCGUUUUCCUUUCUCGCAACCAAUAAUCGCACUAUAUAAAUAGAUCAUCAUUAAUCGAGUAGAAUUUUCGAUCGUGCUAUUAUCCUUAAAAUUCGACAUAUUUUUUUUUUUAAUGUAAUAUUAACCAUGAAUCAUUCGAUGUAAGUAUAAAUAGACCGUGUCUGAUUCAAAGGCACUGUUUCAGCGUAAAAUAUAUAUAUAGACUACAUAUUGUUCCCAAUAAGAACUAAAUUGGGCAGUUAAUAAAUAAAACCCAUAUGUAUUAACCAGAUAUAUUUUUAGAACUUAUCGAGUUUUAAAUACGAUCGUUACAGUAAUUCUGAUAAGAUUCUUCUGAUACUAUAUGUAACGUUAAGAUCCACUAACAAUUUUAAAUGGUAACUAAAGAACUCUCCAUGACCGAUGGAGAAAUUUCGCCGAAAAAUUCCAAUGAAAAUUCAACACUCACCUCGAUCCAAUAAUUAUUUCGUAAUUAAUGAGAAUUCUAUACGUCGUGUUUGUUGCAUAAGCGUUUGAGGGGAUGUUUUAUCACGUAAUGUCAACUUAUUAUAUGUCAACUUGGCUUUACGAUUUCAGAUGUAUUAUACCGCUGAAGUACUAAAAGUCAGCCAUUGAAAAUUAGUCAUACGAUCGCAGUAUUUGGCCCCGAUCCAAACCUCUUCUGCUGGACGUGAAAAUACGUGUGCAGGUCGUGUGGCCAGGUAUCAUGUAAUAUAGGUGCUUUAUAAUCAAGAUAUUGCAUCGUGACGCAACAACAAACCGAGACCUUGCUCGUCGUGACCUAACUUUAUCAUCACCUAAUGAUAAAAUUUCAUCUUAUCUAUAUUUGCAAUAAUAUAGUAGUAUUAGUGAAAUAAAUGAAUUCUAUUUGAAUUAUGUAA